UCCCGAUUCCUGCCCUUCCCGCCCCGCACACACCAGGGGGGGGGGGGGUACAACUUGACAAUGUUUCCGAAAUCAUGAUCCAUCCACACCCCCGCUCCCUGCUAAUGACCGACAAGCUGCCACACAAGCUAACAAGAUGGGCGAUCGCACAGUCAACUCAAAUGUGCACUUCUCUUUGGAGCAAUCAGCAUCACGUCGACCGUGCACCUGUCGUCAAUCAGCACUCAUCACUGCCUGCAUGUCAGCCCAUCAGUUCCGGGAAGCCGUCGCCUGAGUAUUGACACUGUAACUCACUGGCCAACACUCGUACUUCCAGGUUUCUGUGCCAUCCCGUCCUCCAGCACACCUCAGCCACCAGUUACACCUACCGAUCUCUCCCGGUUCACUGAAGAUUAUCACAAUCUAUCCCCCAUGUUCAGCAAGGAACAUACUCAUCUUCUCCCGCUCCCCCAAAGAACACCGCCAGCAUGUCCGUCAAGUCGUCCAACGCCUUCUUGAGAACCGCCUCUUUGUGAAACCUGAAAAAUGCGAAUACCACCUCUCCUCCGUUCGCCUUUUGUCUACAUCCGAGCGGAACUAUGACAACGGAAAAUGUGAGCUGCUAGCCAUCGUUUGGGCCCUGGAGGAGUGGAGGCACUGGUUGGAGGGGACCCUUACACCCUUUAUUAUAUGGAAUGACCACAAGAACCUAGUUUAUCUCCGUUCUGCCAAGCGGCUUAAUCCCCGGCAAGCUCGCUGGGCUUUAUUUCUCAGCGGGUUCAAUUUCUGCCUCUCCUUCCGCCCUGGUUCGCGCAAUGGCCAGCCUGAUGCCCUCUCCGCUAUGUUUGCACCCCCCUCCAGUCCAGCGGAACCAGAAUCCAUCCUCCCUUCCUCAUGCUCCGUGGGAGCAGCCACUUGGACGAUUGAACGGGUGAUCAAAGAGGCUCAGAAGACUCACCCGGAUCCAAGACCGGACCUCCUAACCGACUGAAGACUUCAUGGUAUCCCUGUUGACAUUGUAUCGGACCGGGGUCCUCAGUUCUCAUCCUGGGUCUGGAAAGAGUUCUGCAAGGCGAUGGGCGCAGCAGCCAGUUUGUCUUCCGGCUACCACCCCCAAACCAAUGGACAGAUCGAGCGUGCAAAUCAAAGCCUGGAAUCCGCUCUUCGCUGCUUGCCAUCCUGCCUCCUAGUGCACCUUCCUCCCAUGGGUGGAAUAUACCCACAACUCCCUCACCAGACCAGCAGUGGCGGUUCCCACUGUGAGGGAGCACCUUCGGCGAAUCCUAUCUGUAUGGAUGGAUGUCAAGGCUGCUCUGACUCGGUCUACGGAGAAGAAUAAGCGCCUGGAGGAUCUUCAUCAAUCUCCCAUUCCGGAAUACAAGUUCCUCUGCCGGGAACGGGUGGCGCUUUUUGCCUCUUUUUCCAUCUCUCUCCACCACUAUUUACCUCCUUGCCUGCUCACCUGGUUCCAAUCAGCACUCAUCACUGCUUGCACUGCCUUCACAUGUCUCCUGCCACCACGCUCGCUCCAGCCGCAUUGCCAAGUUCCCUCACCUGCUCACGCUCCAGUCUCCCGCACGCUCCCUACUCCGAUGGACCACCAUCGCGUCUUUGGAUUCCUGACCUCGCGCUUUUCCCAAAUAAACGGCAUCCAACUGCUUCCUUAGUCUCAGUCUGCUUUUGGGUCCAGUCCAAUAUCGUUUGGUACAAACCAUGACAUCAUGGCC